GGCUCGCCAUUUUGACUCUCUCCUCCCUCCCGUUUCGCACGCAACAAAAAAGCAGGCAGGCCCUCAAACACCGGGGGAGGGCUGGCCGGCGGCUGGAGGCUCUGGAUCGUCCGCCUGUUUGUCCACGACUCGAGAAGCACCCGCCAUCUGUUCGACGGAAUGCGCAAGAAGAAGCCCGCCGCGAGCAGCAAGAAUCGCUUCGGCGACCUGCCCGACGACCUCCUCCGGCACGUGUUGUCCUUUCUGCCGGCGGGUGAUGCCCUGCAGACCUGCGUGCUCGACACCAGGUGGCGCGACCACUGGAGUUUCCCGAGCUUGGAACGUUUCAAACAGAUCGUCAAGCUCUUCAUCCACCUCCGUGGAAACUCACCUCUCGGUAAGUUCAAGAUCAACACAUGUCUUCAUCAGUGGCGGUGCCAGGAUCAAAACAUUGUGAUGUCAAUCUUUUCUAAUGAAUUUUCUUUGUACCCACAAAAAAGGUUUUUUAGAUAAGUUUGUAUCCCUUUAUUUAUCCCCUUUAUGUUACAUUAUGAGCCAACGAAAACAUAAUACUUCAUAACUUAUAUAAAUAUUUAUGGCAGCAAUCCUUUGUGAUCAUGCAUAUCUUGAUAUAUAUAUAUAUGCAUAUUGCAUAACAUAUUGGAAUAAAUUUCAGUAUGAGACAAUGAUUGGAAGAGAAAAAACAUAUAGCAAUACAAAAGACAGAACUUACGAAUAGAAGGGGAAGGGCAGAUGGCCUCGUUCUGGCUUUGGACCCGAUGACCAAUACAGCAAUAUUGAUCGAUUUAUGCGACACACCAUUGACGGUCCAUCGCUCGCGGGUCAGUGGACGGCCGGAGGUGGCCAUGCCUCACGGCUCAUAUCCUGACCGAAGAUCGCAGGUGGAGGACAGGAGUCGCUCGCGGCUCGCCGGACAGCCGGAGGUGGCCCUGUCUCACGCCUCACGCCCUGGCCAAAGAUCGCAGGCGGAGGACAGGAUGAGGCUGUGGCGGAGGGAGAAAAGGUUGAACUGACGAGGAGAAAGUUGGGAAGGCAGAGAAGUCGAAGGAGAAAACCAAGGAAUUUCUGCGAUGCAUUACGAUCAGGGAAGAUAUUUAGGACUUCCUAUUUCUGUACGACCUAGCCCUUUUCUUUAGAAGAUCCUAGCCCAUUGUUACACGAAUCAGAUGAUACAUGGGCCUGUAGUCAAAUUCCAACAGUUUUUUGUUCAGAGGCGUGUUGUACGCAGCCUGGGUCAAUUUGUUACGAAAUUCCUGUGUAGUCAUACGACUACACAGGCUUAACGUGGCUUCGCCAUUGGUCUUCAUGUUGACGAGGAGCACAAAUACACAAACACCAGGCUGUUGAUCGAGUAUGCUCUAAAGUGCCAAGUAAAGGAACUCCUAGUCGGCAUUGAUGUUGAUGAUGAUGACGGUGAUUUUGACGAUGACAACAACCCACUAAAACUCGAUGUGUUUCUUAUCUCCCAGCACUUGAAGACCCUGCACCUUAAAUUGGUUAACCUCAAACGUUUCGCUCUGGAUUUGUCGAGCUGCCCAGCAUUAGAGGAUCUAGAGAUGCAACAUUGUGACAUUGAUGCUCGCAGGAUAUCUUCCAAAUCACUACAACGGCUAUGCAUUACCGACAUUUGUUCCUUCCCCGCAGACUUCCGUGUUCGGAUAUUUGCCCCUGGUCUUAUCUCACUGCACCUUUAUGGUUUUAGGGGAUUGACCCCUUCAUUUGAAUACAUUCCAUUACUAGAAACAGCUUAUGUUUGGGUUGACUAUGGGUGCAAUGAUUCUUGUCGUAGUAACCAGCAGGGUUGUGAGCUUGAGAAAUGUGGUUGUCAUGCUUAUCCCAUUGACGAGGGCGUGCUUCUCCAUGGUUUAUCCGAUGUUGCGAAUUUGGAGUUGCUAGCUGAUAAUAGUACUGUUUCCUGGGACAGUCAUGAAAUUGAAGUGGUACGUAUGCAUUUACUUCCUUUUUCGCCCUUAUUGUUAUUUGUCACCCACUAAUUCUCUUUUAACAUCUCUAUCCACUGUUAGCCUGCAUAUACUUAUUCUCAUUACCAUGAUUUUCUACUUUACUCUUCACCAAUGGGAUUCAAAUCAAUGAUUUAAUAUCACGGUGGCUUGAUUGGUGUAAAAUGUGUUUCCAGGGCUUGAGUCAUAGUUCUCUCUCUACUUAUGUCUGAAAUCAGAGUAUCUACCCAAACUUUCAUCUUACUAUUUUUUUUCAUCUUCUCAAGUCUCACAGCUCUUUUUCGUUCCUUUGCAAUUUGGCAGUUUGAAAUUAAAAUAUCUAGCCAAAGUUCCUACUAGACGAUUUUUUUUCUUUGUAGAGUCUCAAAGUUCUAUUUCGUUCAUUUGCUAUUUGUCCAGUCUAUCUACAGAUGGGAUUUAAAAUGUUGUCCCAUAUUUGACAAACUGAAGCCUCAGUUGCUCAAUGAGUGGUUUACGACUAGUGGCCUAGCGUGCAUUCUCCGACACUCUCCAAUUCUUGAGAUGCUCACUCUUCAGCUUAAUAAAACUAAGUUAUAGGAAUUAUCCUAUACUCGUUAGAGCAACAGGAGCCCAAGAAAAGAUAAAACAACCAUUUGUGUGCUCGCACCUUAAGGUUGUCAACAUUGAAUGUAAAAAGGUUGAUGAGAGAAUCCGCAAAAUUUUGAAGACCUUGAGUGCAUGUGUCAUACUUCAUGAGCAAAUUAGCAUCA